rnacentral:rRNA from 1 species
CCGCGGUAACACGUAGGAGGCAAACGUUAUCCGGAUUUACUGGGCGUAAAGCGCGUGUAGGUGGUACUGUAAGUAGGGCGUGAAAGCUCCUGGCUCAACUGGGAGAGGCCGUUCUAAACUACAGAACUAGAGGAUGGUAGAGGGAGGUGGAAUUCCAGGUGUAGCGGUGGAAUGCGCAGAUAUCUGGAGGAACACCGGUGGCGAAGGCGGCCUCCUGGACCAUUCCUGACACUCAGACGCGAAAGCUAGGGUAGCAAACGG